UGGAAUCAAAUUUCACUGUUGCAUAUGUACCCUUUACAUGAUUGAUUACAUUCUACAUAUGCAUAACACUAAAUAUCAUACCUGCUCCCCACCUAAUAUUUAUUAUCAAACAGUGAACUAAUGUCUUUUUCUAAAUAUAAUAUUAAACACGAUAUUCAUCCUCACCCUCACUCUCACCCUCACCCUUUUUUCCCAUAUCAUUUAGAAUCAUGAGAGUUCAUAAAUCUUCAAUCCUAAUCAUUAUGCUCUUUCUCUUUAUACUAGCACUACUUCAUCUUUCAAGUUACAGACACAUUUCAAGGGGUGGCAAGGAAAAGAGUGAAGAAAGAACAAGAACCAUGUUCCCUUUUUCAUUCCCACAUGCUGCAGAAAUCAAAGACAAUAAGAAUAAGGUCAGUGAAUUUCAUCCUGUUUCACGUGCAAGUACUCCAGGUGGACCAAACCCUCUUCAUAAUUGAAAUAUAUAUCAUGAAGAUCUAGUACUAUAAAGAAUUCAUAGGAAGUUUCAUAGUAGUGGAAUGAUAAAUACCUAUGGAACCAAAAGUUACCUUAGUUUGCACUACAAGGUAUGUCAUUUCCUUUGGUAUAUGUAUCAAAGUAUAAUUGUAUCUAGUUGAGAAAAUUGCUUGCACUUAUGGGGUUUAUCUAUCAAUGUAUAGUAGAGGAAUUAUAAUGUACUUCUCCAAAUUCAUAGUGAAGUUGAAUAAGUUGAAUUAGAUUUGCAUUUCUGCAUUCUUUCUUAUUCCCUUAUAAUUGAAAUCCUGCAAAAAAGAGACAAAUUGAAGUAUCAAAGAGGGUCGUUCACAUAGUUACAUGUACAUUGAUUCCGGUUGCAUAAUAUUUAUAUUGUUUUUUACUUUUUACAUUAUUAUUAUAACACCUUUUUUUAUGAAAAACCCGGUACAAGAUAUAUAGGCCAAAUAAGGAAAUCGUGUAGUUAUGAUUGUUCCAAGAUCAAUAAAGGAAUGUUAGACAUGACUUCAGCUUCUAUUGUGUUGUGUCAAUCAACUUUUUU
rnacentral:lncRNA from 1 species